rnacentral:misc_RNA from 1 species
GAUGAAGAACGUAGCGAAAUGCGAUACGUAAUGUGAAUUGCAGAAUUCAGUGAAUCAUCGAAUCUUUGAACGCAUAUUGCGCUCUCUGGUAUUCCGGAGAGCAUGCUUGUUUGAGUAUCAGUAAACACCUCAACUUCCAUAUCUUUUUUGAAAUGGGAGUUGGACUUGAGUGAUCCCAACGCUUUUCCUCACCGAAAAGUGGCGGGUUACUUGAAAUGCAGGUGCAGCUGGACUUUUCUCUGAGCUAUAAGCAUAUCUAUUUAGUCUGCCUAAAAAACAGAUUAUUACCUUUGCUGCAGCUAACAUAAAGGAGAUUAGUUCUUGUGCUGACUGAUGCAGGAUUCACAAAGACGGCUUCGGCCGACUUUGUAAACUCGAGCUCAAAUCAAGUAAGACUACCCGCUGAACUUAAGCAUAUCAAUAAGCGGAGGA